AUGAAGCAAGAAUUAUCAAGAAAAGUAGUUCUUCUAAUAGCAUUUUUAGUUAUAUGCUGGUUUUCAACAUUUCUUAUUGGAGCAUAUGCAAGAAGCUUGAGGAAAUAUUCAUUUGAUGUGAAACACAAGGGACAUGAAGGAGUUGUGAUUGCAGUGGAAGUGAAGAAACAUGAAGAUUAUGAGGAACAUAUAACAUCCAUGGAUUAUACAGCAGUUAGGAGAAAGCCACCAAUUCAUAAUUAG